GAGGCUGUUACAGUGAAAGAAGAGGAAGAGGUGAAAGAGGAGGAUGUAGUUUUUGAAGUGAAGGAGGGGAAACAGGGAGAGAGAACUGUCAUAUUGACAGAGGAGUCAGGAGAUCUGAUUACCACCAGAGAGGGACCAGACUCUCACUCUGACAGCAGGGAGACUCCUUCAGGGGAACCAGACCCAGAGACGCCCAAACCAGCGAGACAACACCACUGUUCCCAGUGUGGAAAGAGUUUUAAGUGGUUAAGGAACCUGAAAGUACAUGAGAGAAUACAGGAGAAAACCCUUACGAAUGCUCCCACUGUGGAAAGAGUUUUACCAAGUUAGGGAACCUAAAAGAGCAUGAGAGGACACACACAAGAGAAAAGAGUUUCCAAUGUUCCCAGUGUGGAAAGAGGUUUACCCAGUUACAGUACCUGAAACAACAUGAAGAAAUACACACAGAAGAUAGGAAGACCUACCACUGCUCUCAGUGUGUAAAGAUAUUUACUGGGUUAGGGAACCUGAAAAUACAUAUGAGAAGACACUCUGGAGAGAAGCCGUACCACUGUUCCCACUGUGGAAGGAAUUUUAGGUGGUAUGCGAGCCUGAAGGAGCAUGAGAGAAUACACACAGGAGAAAAGCCUUACCACUGUUCCAAUUGUGAAAAGAGUUUUACCCGGUUAGGGAGCUUGAAAAAGCAUGAGAGAACACACACAGGAGAAAAGCCUUUCCAACAUACUAAUACACAGGAGGAGAAGACAUACCACUGCUCUCAUUGUGAAAAGACAUUUUCCCAGUCAGAGGACCUGAAAUCACAUGAGAGAAUAGAGAGGCUGUGUUCUGACUUAUGUUUUUGAUUGAGAAAUUGUGUUUUUGUUCAUUCUACAUUAAAUAAUAUUGUAUGAAUGAAAUCAUACUGAAAAAUAGGUCUACAUGUUUUUCCCAGCUCAAGACAUGAUCAUGUCGAAAAUCGGAUUAAAAGAGUAAAAAAAUGUUUUGAUUAUGAACUUAAGAUUGAUUGAAUGCAAGUGUAAACCCCUAAAUGUUGUUCACUAUAUCAUUGGGAUAUUUCAAACAUGUUAAUUAUUAAAUAGAUUGAUAUUAGUAUUUCUUCAUUCAGAUUGUCAUUGUAAAUGCGUAUUGGUUCUCAAUUGACAUAUCUGAUUAAAUAAAUGUGAAAUAAAGUAAAUGCCAUAUUGUU